rnacentral:rRNA from 1 species
UACGGAGGGUGCAAGCGUUAUCCGGAUUCACUGGGUUUAAAGGGUGCGUAGGCGGAUAGGUAAGUCCGCUGUGAAAGUCCAGGGCUCAACCCUGGGAUGCCGGUGGAUACUGUCGGGCUCGAGUCCGGAAGAGGAGUGUGGAAUUCCUGGUGUAGCGGUGAAAUGCGCAGAUAUCAGGAGGAACACCGAUGGCGAAGGCAGGUCUCUGGGCUGUAACUGACGCUGAGGAGCGAAAGCAUGGGGAGCGAACAGG